AGCCCGGAGGUGCAUUGCAUAUAAGGUUGCAAACCUUAAGGAGCAGGCUAGUUCCCUGCCUGGGCUU
rnacentral:tRNA from 1 species